UGCGUAAUAGCUCACUAGUCGAGAGGUCCUGCGCCGAAAAUGUCCGGGGCUGAAACACAACACCGAAGCUUAGGAAUGUACGUAAGUACAUUGGUAGAGGAGCAUUCUUAAAGGAGCGAAGCAGUACCGAUAAGGAGCUGUGGACUUUUAAGAAGAGAGAAUGCCGGAAUGAGUAGCGAGAUGGAGGUGAGAAUCCUCCAGGCCGAAUAUCCAAGGUUUCCAGAGUAAAGCUGAUCUGCUCUGGGUAAGUCGGGGCCUAAGGCGAGGCUGAGAGGCGUAGUCGAUGGACAACAGGUUGAGAUUCCUGUACCGUGUAUCAUCAGAACUGUGGGGACACAGAAGGACAACACAUCCCGGGAAUGGGAAUACCGGGGCAAGCGAGGUAGGAGUACGGUUGGCAAAUCCGCCGUACAAUCCGAAAACGUGACGCGGAGCGAACUAAAGUAGUGAAGUGUGUGAUUCCAGCUGUCAAGAAAAGCCGCUAUUGUGUGAUGCACGCCCGUACCGUAAACCGACACAGGUAGAUGAGGAGAGAAUCCUAAGGCCGGCGGGAGAAGCAUUGUUAAGGAACUCGGCAAAAUGACCCCGUAACUUCGGGAGAAGGGGUGCUCCAGAGAUGGAGCCGCAGAGAACUGGCCCAAGCAACUGUUUAGCAAAAACACAGGUCUAUGCAAAACCGAAAGGUGAGGUAUAUGGGCUGACGCCUGCCCGGUGCUGGAAGGUUAAGAGGAGAUGUUAGCCGUAAGGUGAAGCAUUGAAUUUAAGCCCCAGUAAACGGCGGCCGUAACUAUAACGGUCCUAAGGUAGCGAAAUUCCUUGUCGGGUAAGUUCCGACCCGCACGAAAGGCGUAAUGAUUUGGGCACUGUCUCGACAAUGCACCCGGUGAAAUUGAAAUACCAGUGAAGAUGCUGGUUACCUGCGCCAGGACGGAAAGACCCCAUGGAGCUUUACUCUAGCUUGAUACUGGGGUUCGGUAUUGCAUGUACAGGAUAGGUGGGAGACUGAGAAGAUGUGUCGCCAGAUGCAUCAGAGUCGAUGUUGGGAUACCACCCCUGCAGUACUGGGCUUCUAACCUGCAGCCGUGACCCGGCUGGGGGACAAUGUCUGGUGGGGAGUUUGACUGGGGCGGUCGCCUCCGAAAGAGUAUCGGAGGCGCUCAAAGGUUCCCUCAGAAUGGUUGGAAACCAUUCGAAGAGCGCAAAGGCAGAAGGGAGCUUGACUGCGACACCGACGGGUGGAGCAGGUACGAAAGUAGGACUUAGUGAUCCGGUGGUAUGAAAGUGGGAUUGCCAUCGCUCAACGGAUAAAAGCUACCCUGGGGAUAACAGGCUUAUCACUCCCAAGAGUUCACAUCGACGGAGUGGUUUGGCACCUCGAUGUCGGCUCAUCGCAUCCUGGGGCUGUAGUAGGUCCCAAGGGUUGGGCUGUUCGCCCAUUAAAGCGGUACGCGAGCUGGGUUCAGAACGUCGUGAGACAGUUCGGUCCCUAUC
rnacentral:rRNA from 1 species